UUUACUUCAAAUCAUCAUGGCAUCAAAACUGCUAAGGAAAGGAGCUGGAAUUUUCAAAGACCCAGUUAAUAAUAGUAUAAGUGUCCAAAGUACUGCUGAACUUUAUGAGGAAAGGAAACCAAAAUGAUCGACUAUCCGCCUGGAAACCACCUCUUGGUUUGGACAUCGAGGCAUCGACAUUUGGACUAGCAGUUUACAUUGGAAAAAAGCUACGAAAUAUAAUAUGACCUCCACCAGAAGAUUUCGUCGUAUCUAUUUUAAUUGUAGGUGCAAAACAAAAUGUUGACGAUUUACUGGCUAUAGAACUGACCGUUGAAUCACAACACACCAGUGGCAAUAUUGCCGCCACCUUCAAAAUCGGACUUGGGAACUCAGCUCCACUUUACGAAGACGAUCGAGCUUGGAGAAGGUACGACGGCUACGAAAAGUGAAAAUUGUUGAUCCAAACUUGGAUGAGAUUUUCAUGUUCGGGAGGGAAUCGUGGUUUGAAAAGGUGUGACUGAGAAUAAAACUUCCAAGUGCGUUAAGGAAAUUUGGCUGAAAGAAACGAUGCUGCUACUGAAUGUUUCGAAACUCUACGAGACGAAGUUGUUUCCGGCUAGACGGUGCCCCGAUUGCUGAUGGCUGCAUUGUGCGCAUAACAGGCAACUACAUUUUCCGGGAGCUUGUUUGCGUCCCCAUCUCGGUGUUGAAGAACUCGAUGAUAGCGGAAAUGACAUCAAUUUCGACCUGGCUAUCAAAACACAGAACAUUGAUAAGGAUGACUUAAGGAAUUUCUUGAACACAGGUUCCUGGUGUACAGGCUUAUCCGGUCUUCCGUAGUGGCGCCGUCGGGUCACUUGACUGCACCCAGCCGGAACAACUACGCGCUGUCGCAUUUGGCUCGCUCACCCAUUCGCGCUGAUCGACUGGCUCGCGUACACAAUUGUGACAAAAAUCAAGUCUGUGACAGUGUAUGUUGUGUUUAUGUUAAAUCGGUUGAGUUUAGCAUGUAUUUUGCUUCCGUUGACAUGUAUAAUAAAACUUUUUAAAUCAACAAUUAUGAGUUUUUUCCAUUCAAAGCAAAACAUAUAAUGCCUACAUACAUUUAUCAAAUGGUGAUGUACAUGUAAAACUACUAUAAACAAUAAUAUUGGACCCGAAAGGAAAUUUACAUGAAAUAGCA